UCCGUUUGCCCUAAGAUGUCGCCCUGAGUUUAUAGUUGUGUUUCGUUUGUUUUCGCUCCCCGCAAAAUUUAAACAGAGUGCAAACAUGGCAUAAAUAUUCUGUGAAUUUAGCCCGCAAGAUGCUUAAAAAUUCGCCCCGCUUGAUGGCCAGAGACACAAAACAGGUAGUGGCACCGAGCCUGCACCCAUCUGAAGCAAAUUGCAGGGACAUGGUGCUGUGCUGCGGGUGGACAUGUGUAGGCCUUCUUCCGGAGGGGAGUCCAUUCCGAAGAAACAGGCAGCAGAGACCUGGGGUCCCUUCUAACCGACUGCCAAGUGGUAUCCACCCAGUAGUACCGUUAUCUUGACAAAAAAGGCUACUACCCUCGAUAUUAGUUGAUUCGUAACAUCUACCAUACGGGAAAUGUAAGCUUUGCAACUAUGGGUAACCUGGCGCAUGGAAGGAUUGCCUUGAUAGCUUCCACUUGAGAUGAAAUGGAUUAAAUCAGGGAAGUUAAAAUGGGGUUAGAGUUACUAGGACAAUAUCAGGUUUGAAAUUUUUAAUGUCUGUAGUGCGAGACUCAAUGGCCGCGCAUUUAAGGAAUGAUGCACUGACAUCAAAUGCGAAAAUUUACAUUCUCCCGGCAAUCGUAAAUGAAUACUGUAGGAAUCAAAAUGUAGAAUAUUAAAUACCUAGUUAUUAUUUUGCGAAGAAAAAAACGAUUGAAGUAGAAAAUGUGCGACCAUUGGGUCUCGCACGGUAUUAUCUGUUUGAUAAGCAUAUUACUCAUGUCCAUCCAUUUACUUAUGGAAAGUCAAAUGCAUGUUUUGAAUUGAUUCUUGUAUUGAAUACAUGUUAACUUAUCUUUCAUUGUUUUUUGUAAUAUGGAUAAUUUUUUUUAAUUUUGUUUGAUAGGACACCUAAGCCCAUUGUUUUACCAAAUUAUAUUUCAUUUUUAUUUAUUGAAAAACAAAUCAGAAAAUUUUUCGUUCAAAAUUAACUUUUUUACGGUUUUUAAUCAAUUAGGUUUUAGAAGAGAAAAGUAGCAUGACUAUAGUAAGCUAGAUUCCAAUUAGAAUAUUUUAGUUGAAUAUCACAUCACCAACCUUUGCAGUACUGGUGGUAUUAUUAUACCUUUGUUUGUAAGUUCCGUUGAUCGAAGAUUUGACCUUCUGAAAGUAAUACGUCUUCUAUACGGUCAAGAAGUUGUUUGAAAUCAAUAAGUAUCAAUAAAUAUAACGUUAGGAAACAAUUGUGCACCGAAUUUCAAUUUACUUUUUUUUCAAAAACAAAAAAUUGAAAUUUGGUGACCAAUUGUUUUCUAACGUUCUAUUUAUUGAUAUUGUACUCCCAACGAGAAUACAAAUUUGCAAUGUUAGUUCGAUUUCAUUUAUGUGUUCGGUUCCGUUUGUUUCGUGCAGCAUUAUAAUAUCUAGAGCUGCAAUAAGUUUCAGCUAUUAUGCUAAUAUUUGCGAUAUAAGAUAUAUUAUUCAUAUCUGUUUUAUUUAUUGUUUUAUCUAGAUUUCAAAAAGUGUCCCGAUGUAACCAGCCGAAACCGGCGACGAUUCAUGCCUGCAGAACGUGGAGUCUAACACGUUUCCAAGUUGGAAUCUGGUGGUCAUACGGGUUCCAAACCUAAAGCGUGAUCAAUAUAACUCGAUGGAAGCGGAAAAGAGCGUCUAACCAAACUGUCCCAGGCCGACAACAGGAAACAGAAGCCAGCAAAGAAAACCACAACAUCAUCGAAUAUUGAUGGGUGAAAAUAGUGGUUUUAUAAUUGUACAAAAUCAGAAAUAUAAAAUGGUGAACCAAUAUAAA